AAUGAGGGAAACCUUGAUGCAGCGACGCCGCGUGCGGGACGAAGGCCCUAGGGUUGUAAACCGCUUUCAGUAGGGACGAAAGUGACGGUACCUACAGAAGAAGCCCCGGCCAACUAUGUGCCAGCAGCCGCGGUGAUACAUAGGGGGCAAGCGUUGUCCGGAUUUACUGGGCGUAAAGAGCUCGUAGGCGGUUUACCAAGUUAGAAGUGAAAUCUCCAUGCUCAACAUGGAGCGGCCUUUUAAAACUGGUAUGACUUGAGUACGGUAGAGGAGUGUGGAAUUCCCGGUGUAGCGGUGAAAUGCGCAGAUAUCGGGAGGAACACCUAUGGCGAAGGCAGCACUCUGGGCCGAAACUGACGCUGAGGAGCGAAAGCGUGGGGAGCGAA
rnacentral:rRNA from 1 species